ensembl:lncRNA novel transcript
GUAGCUUUUGAGUGAGGCGGCGGGAAGGGAGCGAGGGAAGAGCGGCAGUGAGACCGGGGAGACAAGGGACUUGAAGACUAGGAGGGAAGAAACAGCGAGGUGAGGUGCGAAGAGCAGUGCCAGAACUUUGUAUCCCAGGCCCAUCUCCUUCCCCCUUCGUUUUCCUCGUUUGCUAUUAGAGAGAAUAAUAUUUCUCACCGCGUACCUGUGCCUGGACCCGGAAGGGUUGCCGCUGGGGACGGGAAUUCGAACUGGCACUGGUGGCCUGUGAAGGGAAAGAUGUGAUGAGAAAGACCAAAACCUAUCUUACUGACAGUUAACUUCUUGGAAUGUGAAUUUUUUUAGUUAAAUAAUCAUGCAGUCUUUGACUAGCACUAAGUGCAUGAGUGUUUAUUCCCUGAGGAUCCUAAGGGCUGAAAUUCGAGGUCAAAUGUGACUUUGCUCCCUGAUUGGACAAACAGUUCCCUCUUCUGUAACAGCUUUAGAAGGAACCUCAGAGAGUCCCAGAGUCAAAAGGUAAACAAGAGAUGAAGUAAUCUGCGUCUCUGCCGAAAAUCGUGCUCCUGAGAUUCCUCAUCAGAAUUGUCAAUAAAAUUGCAAUCCUAAUUUACUUAGGUAGUCAUUAUAAUUGGCACUGAGCUGUGGGAUGGAUGAGUGGGAUUACCCCAGGAGAUUGCCCAAUACUUCCUUUAUGAUCCAAAUAUUGUCAUUAACAGGUUGGACUUCACUGCAAAUAAACUCCUCCCUCAUGGA